UACGGAGGGUGCAAGCGUUAUCCGGAUUUACUGGGUUUAAAGGGUGUGUAGGCGGGUCUAUAAGUCAGUGGCGAGAUCUCCGGGCUCAACCCGGAAACUGCCAUUGAUACUAUAGGUCUUGAAUAUUGUGGAGGUGGGCGGAAUGUGUCAUGUAGCGGUGAAAUGCUUAGAGAUGACACAGAACACCGAUUGCGAAGGCAGCCCACUACGCAACUAUUGACGCUGAGGCACGAAAGCGUGGGGAUCAAACAGG
rnacentral:rRNA from 1 species